rnacentral:rRNA from 1 species
GCUUGCUAGAAGAUGACGAGUGGCGGACGGGUGAGUAAUGCUUGGGAACUUGCCUUUGCGAGGGGGAUAACAGUUGGAAACGACUGCUAAUACCGCAUAAUGUCUACGGACCAAACGGGGCUUAGGCUCCGGCGCAAAGAGAGGCCCAAGUGAGAUUAGCUAGUUGGUAAGGUAACGGCUUACCAAGGCGACGAUCUCUAGCUGUUCUGAGAGGAAGAUCAGCCACACUGGGACUGAGACACGGCCCAGACUCCUACGGGAGGCAGCAGUGGGGAAUAUUGCACAAUGGGGGAAACCCUGAUGCAGCCAUGCCGCGUGUGUGAAGAAGGCCUUCGGGUUGUAAAGCACUUUCAGUUGUGAGGAAAAGUUAGUAGUUAAUACCUGCUAGCCGUGACGUUAACAACAGAAGAAGCACCGGCUAACUCCGUGCCAGCAGCCGCGGUAAUACGGAGGGUGCGAGCGUUAAUCGGAAUUACUGGGCGUAAAGCGCACGCAGGCGGUUUGUUAAGCUAGAUGUGAAAGCCCCGGGCUCAACCUGGGAUGGUCAUUUAGAACUGGCAGACUAGAGUCUUGGAGAGGGGAGUGGAAUUCCAGGUGUAG